CCUCGUUCGCUCACUAGCACACUCACAUUCAAAUCCAAUACAAUUGAACCAUGACAUUCAAAAUUUGACUUUAAUCAUAUGAUUAAUUUUAUUUUGUAGAAUUGGACUAUACAAGUACUUCUCUUCAAAUACAAAUGUCUGUGAUUCGCUAAUGAACAAAAAAAUUCAUAUUAUAAAAAUUAAAAAUAUUAUCGUUGCUUAUUAUAACAAAUAAUUUUAUUUAACUGAAUUAUUUGUAAUUUAAAACAUUAUAUAAUGUUGAAAUAUAUUGUAUCUAAAUACUCGUAUCAGCAAAUUUCAGUAUUUGCAUUCAUUUACCUGCAUUUUAAGUAUUCGACAUAUCACUAAUGUGUAUAUAGAGUUUCCCGAAUAAAACACAGAUAUUGAAGGCUAGUACAAGGACUCCUUUAAGCAGGAGUCCUUGAUACACCAUAUAUGGUCGAUCUUCCCGAAUCAGUCAUUAGCCACCGCUUCCCUUGGGCAUUGAUGACCCCUUCUAAUAGUUUAUAAUAGACUUCGGCUAAUGGAUUGUGUAAGUGAACUUGCGCAUGGAAAUCCCCAUCACUCACAAUCCUAGGAAUCAAAUGAGAGAGCAAAUCGAGACAUACAAGACAUUUUUAUGAUGUGGCAACAAGAGAAGUAAGUUGGCUGAUGCACAGUGGUUCGUUCAGUAUGCCAAGAAUCCCCGCUUUCACUCUGGUAUUGGGCGAAUUUCAUACCAAGCAAUGUAUGUCCAUCCGAAAAAGGGUAGACUUGAGAGCUAACAUUUACUCAAAGAGUGUGAUAUGAACACAAAGAGGCAUCUAUUACAUUUGUGUGGAAAUAUAGACCACGAAAGGCAUGGAGAGUACACCGGGCUAUGACAAAAAAUAGGUAUUCUGUAAAAAUCAGUAUAAGGAGAACAUAAUUGCUCCAUUGCGGGUUUAAAUACCAUGCUUCAGAACAUUUCAGCGUUUCCAUGGGGAAAAUUAAGAUGUUUGGACAUAUGUCAUGGUUUGAGAUUUGAGUUAAAGUAUUAAGUAGUUUCACUCAAAUUGGGUAUCAUUUUCAUGAAGAAGUAUAUGCUGGACUUAUUUGAUUAAGUUUUUAGGAUUAUUGCUCAUUCCAUAUUUUGGUUGAUGCUUCUUGUAAUGAGAAAUUUUGCAUAAAAUUUUAAAUCCAUAAAUCGUAAAAAAAAUCGGAAAUAUUACAGCUGGUAGGAGAAAAAUAAAUAGAUCCGCAUAAAGGAUACUAUUUCAGGUAAAAACGAUUACAUUUUCAAGUAUAUAGCUCCAAAUUUUUUUAUGUUGCAUCCAUUUUAAUGACUGACGGUAUUUUUUUUCACAUUUCAAUAAAAUCAGGAAGUAGGGAUAAUAUUUUUUUUUAUAUGUUCCUGUACAAGAAAUAGUACAAAUUAGGUAUCAAUUUAAAGCUUAUUAAAUUUCAAAUAGAUAUGAAAAAUCAAGCCUAUCAGUAAAUAUGGCUACCCGAAGCCAGGAAUAUGUCUAGAAGUGUGAAUUUUCGAUUCCGGUUGUGACUCGAGACAUAUUAAUUAAACGGCCAUUGCACAAAAAUAAUUGAAGAAACAACAGAACAAAACAGUUUUAUUUUAAAUUCCUGGCCACUAUCUAUCAUUUGAAGAUAAAUUAUGUUUUUUAAUAUACAUUGUAGAUUUUAUAGGACUACAAAAAUUCUGCCACGCAAAAACUGUCAUUUUUGGGGAAAUUGAGAGGCUUGGAUAUUGAUCGGCGUUCAUUUGGCCGUUCAUUUUUUAUUGUUUCUAAGGGGUCAUUACGUAACUAUUUGUUUACAAAGAUUAUUACUUUUUUUUCAUUAUGGAUAUAAUUAUUAUUGUCUUUGAAGGUCCCUAAAAUAAAAUUAAUUUAUAUUAAAAAGUUAUGAACUUGAUUUUGUGUGUAAAUUGAUUACUUUCUAUGAAAUAUCUCAUAUCACACCAAUUGCAAAUCACUUGACUAUGGAAUGGUCGUGUAGGAAAUAGGUAUUCUGGGGUAGGUAAGAGUGCAAUUUUGUACAUACUACUCAUUUCUUAUUCUUAUUGCUAAAUAUUUAUUAAAAUUUGAAUAUAAUCUUUGAGCACACCUUUAAUUAUUUGAAACAUAGUCUUAAUUCUAUUUACAGGAAUAUCUAUUUAUGCAAUGAAUAUCUAAGAAUUCAUUGAUUCAAUUUAUGGCUGUUCGGCGUUAUUAAUUCAUUAACAAAUAAUCGGUAGACUACUUACAAUGAUUGGUUGAGUACUUAUAAAUUAUAAUUAAUGUAUUUGCUUUAGUUUUUUGCUAUUAGUUUCAAGAAUAAUAUCUUAACUGCUUGUUGUUUUAGUAUUCAUUGGUUUGAAUUAUCAUUUGACAUAAUAAUCAUGGUUCUAUAUUGUUAUGCCUACGGCUGCUCAAAUAAGAGUACUAAACCUGGUAUUAGCUUCCAUAAAUUUCCUUGAGAUCCAAGUCCAUCAAACUUAAGACUUAACGUCAAAUUUAAUUUAAUGUCUAUGAUUUCCUUCAAAAAUAGAUAUGCGCCAGAAAUGAAUACGUGCUGUUCGACGAAAGGACUUCCCACCUUCUCCUAUUUCUGUCCUAUGCUCAGAACACUUUUUACCCGAGGACUUCUUUGAUGAACAGAAAUAUAGAAUUCUGAAAAAGUUACCGCUUAAAGCUGUAUGAGGCUACCCACCAUCUUCGGACAAGAAGAUUCAUCUUCUUUCUAUCGGUUGAGUUUUUUCAAUUUUUCUUCAAGCCUCAACUAAGGCAACGACUAUGAUUCAUUAACGUGCCACAAAUCAAUGAAUCUUUUCGAAAUAGACUCAGCAUCCUAGAUCCGUGAUUGCCUACUCAUUCUUAUAAUAUUAAAUAUAUAAACAGCACAAGAUUACAGGUUACUUCUUUAUAAUUAUUCGGGUUUUUUUUCUUCUCCUAGUUUUUUAAUUAAUCUGAUCGAGAUACAACAGCAUAGUUCGAAUUGAUAAUAGAAAAACAUAAAAAGGCGGCAAAGAUGUCAUGCGACAAAAUCUCCUUGAAGAAAAAUUACCAGCGCAAAAAGUUGACGUCACUAUGGGAAUUUGAGCUUUACAAUGUGCCGCAGGAUACUUAUCCAUUAGUAAUUAUGGUCAUCAAAAUUACACAAAUUCAUCGACCAUCCAUGAAAUGUUCUAUUAUGGAAUUAUCCUUCUUUUCACAAAUACUCUAUGGCACGGUAACACAAAUUCUGGUUUGCAACAUAAAGUAUUGCUUAUACAAGUUCCAACUUUUAUAUUAGAUAUGUUCACACAAUAAAAUCAAAUAUAAUUAAAUGUUGAAAUGACAAAUAUAAA
rnacentral:lncRNA from 1 species